rnacentral:rRNA from 1 species
CAUGGCUCAGGAUGAACGCUAGCGGCAGGCCUAACACAUGCAAGUCGAGGGAGAAGCCCUUCGGGGCAGAAACCGGCGCACGGGGUCGUAACGCGUAUGCAACCUACCUUUCACCGGGGGAUAGCCCGAAGAAAUUUGGAUUAAUACCCCAUAAUAUUCUUGGAUGGAAUCAUUUGAUAAUUAAAACUGCGGUGGUGAAAGAUGGGCAUGCGUCCUAUUAGCUAGUUGGAGUGGUAACGGCACACCAAGGCUACGAUAGGUAGGGGUCCUGAGAGGGAGAUCGCCCACACUGGUACUGAGACAGGGACCAGACUCCUACGG